rnacentral:rRNA from 1 species
GACGUAGGGCGCGAGCGUUGUCCGGAUUUAUUGGGCGUAAAGAGCUCGUAGGCGGCUUGUCGCGUCGAAUGUGAAAUCUCAGGGCUCAACUCUGACAUUGCAUUCGAUACGGGCAGGCUCGAGUUCGGUAGGGGAGUCUGGAAUUCCUGGUGUAGCGGUGAAAUGCGCAGAUAUCAGGAGGAACACCGGUGGCGAAGGCGGGACUCUGGGCCGAUACUGACGCUGAGGAGCGAAAGCGUGGGGAGCAAACAGG